rnacentral:lncRNA from 1 species
AGUUUUCCCCUGGGCAGGGCGGCAAGGACCACGUACCGGAACAGAAGCCUGUCCUCAGUAUAGUGGCCACUGUAGGUUUCAACAACAACUAAAGUUUUCUGUAUAAUGACGUUUUACUUGCCUCUUUCCCUCUUCUCAGCUCUUCCUUGCCUAUAACUUAAUAAAGAAUUGGGAGAUAGAAACAGUUCUUUUAGUAUUUAAUCAUUCUCACCUGUAAAGAAUAAAACAGAAGGUAAAUAUUCUUACAGAGAAUAGCAGAGCUUUAAGAGUCAUUUUCAUUUUAAGUCCAUUUUGUUUUGCCAAUGUAUUAAUGUUUAGAGGUUCUGUUAUACUAAUGUUAUUUAUUAAUUUUUUUCACUUCCAUACACAGUUAACUAAAGAGCUUUUUCAGGCACCCAUGUCUGUAAAAAAUAUUUUUAAAUAAAGUUUCUUUUGUUGU